rnacentral:rRNA from 1 species
CCUACGGGAGGCAGCAGUGGGGAAUUUUGGACAAUGGGGGCAACCCUGAUCCAGCCAUUCCGCGUGAGUGAAGAAGGCCUUCGGGUUGUAAAGCUCUUUCGCAAGGGAAGAAAACUUAUGAUCGAAUAAAUCAUGAGGUUGACGGUACCUUGAUAAGAAGCACCGGCUAACUACGUGCCAGCAGCCGCGGUAAUACGUAGGGUGCGAGCGUUAAUCGGAAUUACUGGGCGUAAAGCGUGCGCAGGCGGUUUUGUAAGUCGGAUGUGAAAUCCCCGGGCUCAACCUGGGAACUGCGUUAGAAACUGCAAGGCUAGAGUGUGUCAGAGGGGGGUAGAAUUCCACGUGUAGCAGUGAAAUGCGUAGAGAUGUGGAGGAAUACCAAUGGCGAAGGCAGCCCCCUGGGAUAACACUGACGCUCAUGCACGAAAGCGUGGGGAGCAAACAGGAUUAGAUACCCUGGUAGUCCACGCCCUAAACGAUGUCAACUAGUUGUGGUAGAGUAAAUNUAUGAGUAACGUAGCUAACGCGUGAAGUUGACCGCCGUGGGGUAGGUACGGUCGCGAAGAAGUUAAACGUUACGAAAGUAAGUUAGUUAGGCGNGAGAGNGCGAGACGACGACGAGGGAGGAGG